ACGUGACAACUAGUAAAAAUAUAUACUUACUCGUUUCGAGUAACAAAAAGCAUGUGAUAUAGCUCUAGAGUAUACACGACAUGGGAAAAGGGGGGAGUUUCGCAAUUGCAGAACAUGUUAUCGAAGCGAAACUCAGAGUAUGUGAUUUUGUACUUACGGAGCUCCAUUGGCCUACACUCCAUGUGGGGCAUUCCAUAACGUCGCAUUCCUUGUAUGCGUCCGGCUUAUCCUCUGGAUUACAAGUUCCAUCCCGCGGCUUGCAGGACACGAAGCGCGUUCGUACCCCACUGCCACAUGUCGAGGAGCACUCACUCCACGCUCCAGCAGUCCACCUAGGACAUUCCCCCUUUUCGCACCUGGCUACGUGUGGCGGUUUUUGUGACUCGUUACAGGUAAUGUUGUCUGAAGUGCAGGUGACUGUUCUCCGUUUGACACCAGCGCCACAAGUGACGGAACACUGCAAAACAUCUAGUAUUGGUAUGGUGCUAUUACAAACAUCUAGUAUUGGUAUGGUGCUAUUACAAAACAUCUAGUAUUGGUAUGGUGCUAUUACAAAACAUCUAGUAUUGGUAUGGUGCUAUUACAAAACAUCUAGUAUUGGUAUUGUGCUAUUACAAAACAUCUAGUAUCGAAAUUGUGCUAUUACGAAACUUCUAGUAUUGUUUUUGUGGGCUGCCCUGUUCGGGCGAAUGGUCUCUCGCAUAUAAAGGUUUGGUUAGACAUGUUUCCGAUUUUAGCAAGCCCCCAAGACAAUCGGAUAUUUACGACAUUUUCGUGUUGCCAGCUAAAUUUCAUCACGUACUACACGUGUUCAAAGGUGGCGUGCCUUAGUUUGCCGGGACUAACAAGCGCUAAUAAGCUAAUAGACUAAUAAUAGUUAAUAAUAGUUAAUUCAAUUCCAUAUCUCCAAACUGAUCACUCCUCUUGUUGCCAAUAUUUUUGACAAAUCAGCGCUCACCUGUUCCCAAGGCCCAGCGGCCCACUCCGGACAGGCCGAUCGAUUGCACUGCUGCGUGCUGUCCGGUUUAUUGUCCGGGUCACACGGUUUCCGCUGAGUGUCACAUCUCACCGGACGAGACUGCAAGCCCACGCCGCACGUCACGGAGCACUGUGGGGGCAAGAGGACAUUUUGAAAUGUAUGAAACGAUGCUCAAUCUAGUCAGGAGUUGCUGUCUGGGCAUGGUAACAUACCAUACGCCACGCACUCCUGCGGUGUCGGACCCGAAUAAUUCACUCGGAUUUGGCACAUGAACAGCAGAAUUAAUUGGGAACAGCGGAUAUCAAGACUUCGCCUUUCGUGCAAAAGGAUGACACCGAUAAAAACACCGAUAAAUUUCUAUCAACAACAUGUUUAUGGGUGCAAAAUAGGAGGGCUGACAUCUUACCUCUUCCCAAGGCCCCACGGUCCAUGUGGGACACCUUUGCCCGUUACAGCGCAUGCUCGACGGUGGUUUUCUGAGCGCACCACAUGCAUCAGGACUAGGAGAACACGUGACUGCCCUUGUUUUUGUCCCUCCCCCGCAGCUUACAGAGCACUAAGAGGCAACAAAAAUGCGCUCAAACAAACAUACAUACAAUGCACCAUACGUACAUACGAAUAAAGUUUAAUGUAUGCAGCUCCUGAAACAUUGCAUCUGUACCAGUAAGUAUGAGUUACCUCGCCCCAUUCUUGCGAGAGCCAGCUUGGACAGUCAGGGAGCUCGCACAGCUUGACUACUUCCGGUUUAGUGUCGUCCUGACAACGAUUGCCUCCGGCACUGCACGUGACCACACGUCUGACGACACCCUCGCCACAGGUUACAGAGCACUGUCAAGAUAUAGGUGAAGACAUAAAUUUAGCUGUUAAACUGUUGGUACAUACAUAAUUAAAGAAGGAUAGUCAGCCACACAUUUGUUAUUGUUUUCAUCCAAUAUCGGAGGACAAAUAAUGCAAAGAAAUCUCAAAAUCAACAUCUGUAUUCAACACAUUCUCAAAUGAAAUAUCGCAAUAGUUUUUGUAAUCAUCACAGUGUCCGCUUAAAAGUGAACUCUUCGUUUUACUUGAGAAGUCAUCGUUAUCUAAACGCUACAGGCCUGCCUCCCUCGCCUAAAAAUGUCCUUAUAACUAGAAAACAAUGUACACAAUUGUUUUGUUUUCAGGAGGUACUUCUCCAAGCAAAGUCCACUUAAGCAGCAUACGACAAGUUGAUAAUAAUCCCUUCAUUAAGCCUUUACUGACCUUUUCCCACGGCCCCACUCUCCACACGGGACACGCCCCAAGAUUACAUUUCCUUUGACGCUGUGGCAUAGACUUGGCGUUACAUCUGUCGUCACGCGUGCUACAUGUCACAUCACGCGUCUGUACCCCGUCACCACACGUCACGGAACACUAGCCUCCCUACCUCACUCCAAGAGCCUGGGACCCAGACUGGACACGUCCCGGCGCUACAUCGUCUGACAUCACUGGGUCGGGUGCGUCGGUCACAGUGCUUGCGAUGCUGGGAUUGGCAUUGGACCAAUCGACGCUGAACACCCUCACCACAGCUCACAGAACACUGAAUUAUAACAGCAUACUUUGAUUAGACAAAGCAAAUGCUUAUAAAGAUCUUUCACUAUGGUAAAUGAAUGUGUGCAUACAUAAAUUAGAAUAAAAAUGUUCACAAUAACCUUUCACUAUGGGAAAUGACUGAGGGCGGAUAAAGCGUAAGAGAGCAACUGUUAGUUAGUUAAGGCCGAUUAAGCGGUCAUUUUACACUCGCUCAAGAUCGACUAACACAAAGCAUUCAUUUCCAUCGGCUAGUUACAGCGAGUAAGAUAAACAUUGUCACUGAAGGCUUCAAUUGUGGCUUCAAUUGUGCAAGGUUAAUUUGAAGUUUUCCUUCAAAUGUAAAUGGCAUUCGUUGAAGUAAUUAAGGGAAACAUGCCUUUCUCCAUGGUCCAGCGGUCCACGUAGGACAUUCCACCUUUCCACAGGGCUGUCUACUGUUGGGCUUGGUCUCCGCAUCACACUCUAGCUCAUCUGUACUGCACUUGACGGCGCGGGACUGGACACCACGUCCGCAACUGACGGAACACUUCAAAUAGUAAAACAAUUGUUAAAUGGCGUUGAUUCUUUGGGAAAAACGAUCGAAAUUCGGAAGACAUGGAUAACUUGGACAACGUGGAUGGCUGGUUUUAACUAUUUGGAUUUCCUUGGAUUGACUAACUUCGCAAUUUGAAUUUGUUUCGACUUGCUACUCUAUUGUGUGUUCAUUACCUGACUCCAUUGUUCACUUAUCCACCGUGGACAGGGGCGAAUAUUGCACUGGCGUCGAGAGGAUGGCUUUUUCUCAUCGCAUUUAUCCACACUGGAAGCCGUGCAGUAAACCGAGCGAGCCUGGAACCCGACACCACAAGUCUUGGAGCACUUCAGGCAAAAAAGGGGGAAUGUUAAUAACUGUUUUCCCAUUCGUGGGCGGCAAACGUUUUGUUGUGCACUUGAGUCAUUGAUGACACAUGUGUAUAGCCAUGACUACACAAAAUUGUAUGUGGGGACAAGCUUCAGUAAACCCUUCUAUUGGCCAGGCGGGGCUAGGCGCUUUUUUUUCCUGAUGCCGUUGUAAAUUAUCGGCAUUCUACUAGGGACAAGCGCCCCCUUCAGCUACUACUCCCCCAGUUCACCAAGUUACGUUAAUCGCAACGGACUUAUCACCUUUUCCCAAGGGCCGGACUUCCAGGUGGGGCAUUCUCCCAGUGCGCAUACUCGCACGCUGGCUGGCCGCGUGGCAUUGUCACAUUGGCUGCCAGCAGGCUCACACAAGACUUGCCUGGACGCUUUGCCAGAGCCACAUGUCACUGAGCACUGGAAAAAACACGUUAAAGUGAAGAAGUGACGAUUCUAAAAAACAUGCGCGGUCCGAGCCACAUGGGAAAAACACGUGAAAGCAAAGAAAUGAAACUUCUAACGAAUAAAAGUGGCUCAAGGCGAAAUAGAAUUGUCACGUCAUGGUACCUCGCUCCAGCGUCCAACAGUCCAUUCUGGGCACGCCUUUUUCGCGCAGGGUUGUAUUUCUGAUGGCUUGACUCUUAGAUCGCAAUUCCCUCCCUCGGGCAAACAAUAGACAUUCCUUCUUCUUUGGCCUCUACCACAGCUAACAGAGCACUAUUCGGCACAAGAAGAGAUUAGCAUCAAUCAACAAUCCCAAGAAUUUUAAACCCACUAUGAUCCCAUAGAAAAAACACACACAUAUACCUGACUCCAGGCUCCAACAUUCCACUCUGCGCAUGGCUGCAUGAGGCACGGACGAGAGUCAGAAGGCCUGUAUCUCGCCUCGCAGUUGCUUCCGGCCGGCACACACUCGACAAGUCUUCUGAUGUUUCCUCGACCACAUGUCACGGAGCACUAAGAGCAGAGUAUGUGAUAGAUAAGCCUUAUAGCGCAAAAGGCUGAGCUUAUCAUACGAGAACGUACGUAUCCGUACGUUUACUAUCGUGAACCACUGAAAUCCCCUACCUGGCUCCACUGUCCAGCAUUCCAUCUUGGACAGUCCUGUGAGUUACAUAUCCUUGUCGUGGGUGGUUUACUCAUUCGAUAGCAAGGUUGAUCACGUGAGCUGCACGUGACUGUCCUUGCGCUAAUACCACCACCGCAUGUACGAGAGCACUGAAGAAAACACAAGAAGUCAGCGGGUUUUUUUAUGCACCCUAGUACAACCGAGGCUAGAAAUUCUAGAAAAAAUACAAACAAGCUGUUCUCUGGAAAUCUUAUUUAUCUCUAUCUUUUCUAAGCGUUGUCAUACCUCGCUCCACUUUCCCACGGUCCAUUCAGGACAGGCUGGUAGUUGGCACUUCCUAGCCUCUGAAGGUUUUGGCUUUUUGCACUGACUUUGGUUCCCGGUGCUACAAACAACAGUGUGUAACUGGAUUCCCUCGCCACAUGUAACAGAACACUGAGAAAAGCCAAUAAAUUACACAGGGUCAUAAUCGUAGAGGAAAUAAACGUUAGUACCAGUGCUAGAAUUUACUAGCAAUCGUAAAGCCCCGUUCGAACAUCACAAGCAUUGAGAAUGCAGUGACAAGUACAGUACAAGUACAGACAUGGGUAUAGUAUUGGUAUGUGCUUUCCUGGUGCCGUAUUCCACGACCCAAUAGAUCACCGUCUCGAGACGAA